UAGGGUCUAUUAAGUUUAUUCCUCCUUCCCGUGCCCUGGGAGCCCCGGUUAAUGAGUAACCAUAGUGUGCUCGGAGGCAGCUGUCUCAGACAAACUGACGGAGACUUUUUUGGAGCUGCAUAAGGGAACGUUUGUUCUGCAGCUUCUCAAUAGAUCCUUGUGCAGGAGGCAAGAAGUGUGGGGAGAGAAAGAAAGAGACACUAAAUCACUGCCCUCCUCGAAAAUCUCGCUGCGUGUGUGUGUGUGUUUUUAUGCCUUUUUAGAAUAGAUGUUGGAUGAGUCACCUUUUCAAGCUGAAAUAAUGAAUUUAUCUUCCCAGCGGAGCACACAAUGUACUUUCUAACAGUGUUUUGGCUUUAAAGCUCUUUUUAAGUAACUUAAGGCUAAAACACACAGCCUAUAUGGACCCUGCCGUGGGGUUGGUGUCGCAGGAGUGGGGAUUUCCUUUGUCCUUCUCCCAGUGUAGAGCAGAUUUGGCUCUUGUGGGUCAUAAUUUUACCUGGUCCCUUCCUUCGCUUCUGUUUUAUGGAGAUUUUGGGGGUUUUAUCUGACAGUUGCCCUUGGGGCUAAGGCUGUUUUGCCUUCCCUGGGGUGCCUGGCUGAUGGGCUGGGCGAGUCCUGUGUCCCAGAGUCCUGGGUGACCUUGGCCAUGGCAUUUAAACCUCUUCCCUGCUCUGCUCGUGUCACUGAGCAAACAGGUGACGGAUGUGCCUUUUCUCAUACCUGCCCUGGCUUUUUCCUCCCCAUGUGCUGGGAAGUCCAUGGAGGGUGGAAGGGAUGUUGGGAGCAGGCAGGGAGCUGAGGGAACAGGUACCAAACUGCUCCUAGUUGUCUUGGGAUGUCUCUCCCUCUCUCUGUGGCUCUGUAAUUCUUUAGGUCCUUUGUUGUUCCCUUAAUUCUUUGUCAGUCUUUGGGUGUCUCGUGGCAGGUGAGCCCCUCACAGGGGCUGUGGUGGGAGUGCAGGAUGUGCUUGUGGGCUGGGGAGCCUCCCACCGAGCAGGAAAUGUCCCCACAGGGCUCAGGUCACUGUCCCUGCUCCUGUCCCUGCAGACACACUCGGGCAUUGGUGCUGUGCCCUCAGUGCUGUGCCCUCAGUGCUGUGCCCUCAGCCUGGCUCCAGGGUCCUGGGCAACCCCUCUGCCCCCUGGCAUGGCUUGGAGAGCAGGUUGGGCAUCUCCUGUCCGUCUCAUGACAUCUCUCAUUGAAUCACAGAAUCACUGAGGUUGGAAAAGACCUCCAAGGUCCUGGAGUCCAACCUUUGACUGAACACCCCCGUGCCAACUAAACCACAUCUCAAACUGCCACAUGUACUUGUGUUCUGAACACCUCCAGGGAUGGUGACUCCAGCACUUCCCUGGACAGCCUGUUCCAAUGCUUGACCACUCUUUCAGUGAACAAAUUUUCCCCAGUAUCCAACCUGAACCACCUCUGGCACAACUUGUGGCUGUUUCCUCUUAUCCUGUCCCUCGUUACCUGAGAGCAGAGCCCGACUCCCACCUCACCACAAGCUCCCUUCAGGGGGUUGUAGAGCUCAGACAUCAGGAGCAGUGAUGGCAGUGAAAUUCCUGCUCUGGACCUGCCUGGGACAAACCCCUCUGUGUGCUGUGCCCCUGCACUGCCCGGCUGCCUUUGCACCCCAGAGCCCUCAGCCCCUGGGCAAAGCAGCCUGUGGAGGGGCAGGAGUGUUUCCCAAGGCUUUGCCAUCCCUGCAGCCUCUCAGCUUUGCUCCAGGUCCCUCUGAAGAUGUUUCCCACUGCUCUUGCAGCUGGAGCAGCCCGUCCUUCCCAUGGCCCGGCCAGCACACGCCUGUGGUCCAGGCUGGGAUCCAGGACGGGGCAAAAACUAAAAACACAUAACCACACUUUUCCUCCUCUUUUACAAAACCUCAGCUUUUGGGUUUGGUGGUUGUUUUCUUUUUUAAAUUUUGGGAUUGGCUCAAGUUUUGGGAAAGGCUUCAGGCUGUUUGUGUUUUACCUGACACGCAGCUCCCCGUUCCCUGGAGCAACAGUUCUUUAUUGGCUCCUGCAGGCACUUGGCACUCCCAGCACACGAAAUGAAAAGCUUUUUGUUUCCAUAUUUCAAUAUAUUUAUAUAUAUUUAACUGGUUUGGGGAGGGUAUUUGCAGGUCAGAGGACUUUCAGAGGUUACUGUGCUGGCCAGGCCCUGGGAACAGCUGUCCUGUGGGAACUCAUUCCCAGCUCACCCUUCCCUGAUCUCUUUAUUUUGCCAGUGCUGGUGCCCAUCAAUCACUAAAUGCUUCUUUUUUGUUAUUGUUGCUUUUGGUAAAAAUCAACAGCAAGUUGCAGGGUGAAGUUUAUAGAUGUGCCACUCCUGAGCUGGUGUGGUAAAAGCAACACGACCUGGGGCCGUGAACCCAACUGUGCUCCCACAGAGGUGUCUGUACCAGCACAGCUUUCACAGGAAUGAGCAGUUUUCCUGCUCCCCCCUCCCUGUGCUGCUGUGGGUCAGAGCAGGGCUCCCAUGGCUUCCCAGUGCUUUCCCUGUUUGCCUGGAGGAGUCAGUUCUUCCUCCCUGACCAAUUCUGGCCACCGGGAAUUCCGUGUCUCAAGGAUAUUCUCCUGGAGGAGAACCAGUGCCUGCCCAUCCUCCUGGUGGCCUCUCAACCAGCUGUGACACGGAGUCCCAGAGCCAGCCCUGGAGCAAGGAGCAGAACUUCCCUCUCCAGCAAAACCCUCUUCCCUCUCCAUUUGCCCUUGCACUGAGGAUUUCCUCUCCUGAAAAGCUUUCACAGAGCUCGGAGCCAGCAGACCCAGCGGCCACAGUCCUGCCCCAUGUUGGACUUGAUAUUUAAAGCUUGGGUUUGAUGAUCCUGGAGGUGUUUUCCAACCUCAAUGAUCCCGUGAUUCUGCGUUCAGCAGCCCUUGGACCAAACCCCCCUGUCCUCCUCUCCGUGGAGCGCUGCCGGUCCCUGCCCCCGUGGGAUAAAGGAUGCUUUCAGCUGCUCCAACUGGAUCUGUUGGGAAACCACUGAUUUUCCACGCCUUGGAAACAUCUGGUUGACAUUCUGACAUCCACAGGCUCUUGUGUAAUUGCCCCUGUUCCCUGAUCCACACACAUUUUAUCUUGCUUUAUGGGCAAUCCUGCCCCCUCCCUGCCCACACCCCCCAGCCCAGGCUCCUCAUUAAAACUUGGUGCUUUUUCCUCUGGCUCGGGUCUCCCCUCCCCGGCUCAGCGGUGGCUGAGGAAUGUGAGACAGGAAUGCUGUCCUCUCACAAGGAGCUGGGAAGGGGGGGCACGGCUAUCACCUAAAAACAAUGUCUGUUUGCAUUUUCACUGUCUGGGUGUGCAGAGCAGCCACUGCUGCCUCACCUGGCACCAGCACAGCAUCUCCAACACCUUCCACCACCACGUCAUGGGCUUGCAAAACUAGGGCUGGGAGCAUCCUAUAAAUCAAUGUCAGGCUCUUCUGGGAAGGAUAAGUGCAGCUUUCCAUUGCAAUUCCUUCCUCAGCUUUCCAUUGCAAUUCCUGCCUCAGACCAGUCUCGGAGCUGCCACUUUUGGUGCUGGUGCAGAGCAUUAUUAUGGUUUGGGUUGGAAGGGACCUUUAAGCUCAUCUCUUUCCACAUCCUUGCCAUGGGCAGGGACACCUUUCACUCUCCCAGGUUGCUCCAAGCCCUGUCCAACCUGGCCUUGGACAUUUCCAGGGAUGGGGCAAAAUAAGCUCCAUCAUUUUACUGACAGGUGAGAAAAGGGAGGGAAAGAGAGCAGCCAAAUUUCUGUGCUUGAAUAAAACCAGUGGAGCUCCCAGAGGCUGGAAUCAGGACUUUCCCUGCCCCUUCCCAACAGGGAAGGAUUGUCAGACAGACAGUGCUUCACCCUCUUGGGCCCUGAAGCUGCAGAGACUUGUGCUGGGCUGGCACCAGUGGGUGCCUGUGGGAUGGUGAAUCCCAUGGGAGCAGCACUUGGAGCCCUGCUCCUCCACAUGGGCAUCACCCCACCAGCCAAGGGACAGGGAUGGGGCAGGGUGGCUUGGGGGGACACACAGGGAGUGCAGCAGAGCCCCCCCAGUGCAUUCCCCCAGCUCAGCUCUUCACUGCGAGUUGUGUUCUGGCUCUUGCCAAACAGGUUUUAAUUUCCAGAACGUGGGUAUGAAAAAGCAGCACAACCCCCUCCUGCACAGCACUGAAAUAUGGCUUUUUUUUUCUUUUUAAUAUACCAUAAACGAUGACCUUUUCCCUCCUUAAGCAGGCAGCCAACACAAGCACAACAAUGUGAUUUGUGCAGCUUUUCAGUUGCGGUUUCUUCAAGAAAUUCAUCUGGUCUCGAAGCAAUUAAGGGAAGGGAAGCAUUUCCACUCCGGCUUCGGGCCCUGAAAACCUGCCAGGAGGGUUUUUUUUCCUUCCCCUCCACUUUCCCUCUUGCUGCCUCAGCCCCCCUCACUCACUUGUCCUACAAAACCUCUGUGGUUUCACUUCAUCAGCUCUUCUGAGCGAGGGAGGGCCAAUCCUGACCCGGUGCAGGUGGGAAGAUGCUGGAUCCGUGUCCCUGUCCCUGUGCAGCUGGUGGGGUGGGACAUUGCCCACCUGGAGCCAAGCCCAGCAUCCAACUGGAUGAGGGGUGUGCAGGAUCUUCCCCCCCCGACCAGCACCUUCUGCACCCUCUGCCCUGCCACAGUCCAGUUGUCCCUGUGGCAGAGGGGCUGUGACUGCAGGGAGGGUCACGGGUGGCUGCCACUGUCCUUGUGCCUCAUGUCCCCUUUAGGACGUUUCCCAAAGCACGUGGGGUUCAUGGAGCAGCAGGGAAAGCUGUGGGACGAGACUCUGCCUGGACCGAGUGUGCUUGGGAGAACGGGCCUUAAAUGAGCCCCUGAGUUAACAGCACGGUUAAUUGCUCAUUCAUUCCACGGAUGGGUUAAUAAUUAAGUUAAAUUAAUAAUUGGGACAAUAAUUAAACUAAACAAUAACCAAUACACGGGACAAUUGAAGCCCUCGGUCUCCGCGCUGAGGUUUUGGUGCGGUUACUCAUUUACCGGCAGUUUAGGGGCCGGUUUGGCGUCGGACUGGCUGUGCCAGGGAUGCGGCUCCCGGAGUCCCGGGAAAAGCCGGGCUUUUCCAGGCAAAACCACCGGCUGUUCUCCCCCGGGAUGGCACAGAGCAACGGGGGCCCGCUGAAGAGCGAAACCACCCCCAAUCCUGCCCCCCACCACUCCCCCGGGUCCUCUCCCGCCCGCGCCCUCCCCUCCCCGCGCGGGCCGGACGGAGGGAGGGAGGGACAGACCGACGGAGGGAGGCGGCUCCGGGCCGGGGGGAGGAACUACAAGUCCCGUGAAGCCGCGCCGCCCGCCCGCCGCCCCGGGGCUAUAUAAGGGGGAAUGGCCCGGCAGCCGCAGUCGGAGCAUCCCCGGCCGCGGUGGAGCCGGUCCGGACCCGCAGCCGGGGCUCCUGCACCGGCACCCCCGGGGGGAUUCCCGACGGGAGUGGGGCCGUGCCCGGCCCCCUGGAGCGGGAUGUGGAUUUGGAGAAGGAGGAUAUGGAGCAGGAGGAGGAAGAGGAGGAUGGUGCCGCUCCCGCGCCGGGGGACCCGCAGCCCCGGGGCUGUUCCGGCGGGACGCGGCUCGGAGGUGGAUCUGGAGGCGGAGGUGGAGGUUUUGGCAUCUGCCGCUUCAGGAACGACAAAUUCCAUCGGCCACAACCGCCCUGGGACUGUCCUUGUGCCAGAAGUGAGGAGACCAGAGCCUGACCAUGUGCAGGAUUGGGACUUCUCCCCCUCCACCAACGGUCCCGAGCCGGGAGGAUUUGCCUCUGGAUGGUUCCUCUCCCCUGGGAUCUCUGACAUCAUAAACCCUCCUGGACUGCUGUGGGUUUUGGAUGCUCCCUUCUGUUUGGAGCUGGGAAUGGCACAGCUGGGAGGCUGCAGCCCCUGCUCCUCUCCAGCUCCCGUGGAUUACUGCUUUUGGCAUCACUGUGGUGGAACUGGCUUUGAGGUGUGACGUCUCCCAAUGGACAGAUGUGGAAAAGCAGCAGUCACAGCCCCUCUUUUUCUGGGCUGCUCUGGGCAUUGUGGCUCUGGAGGAGGAAGGAGUCCACGCACACGUGUAGGACAAAUCCUGCUUUUAGGGUCCGCGGUGAAGGCUCGGGGUGCGGGGACCCACGAGGGGACAGCCAAGGUGCUGCAGCUCUCACCGUGGCCAGGACAGCCAGGAGCACCCUCCCGAGGAUGGGCACUUCAGCUGCAGCACGGGGAGAGGGACACAGGGACCAGCAGCUCGCCCUGAGCUCGCCGGGGAGCGAUGGAGCAUCGGGGGCUGGGGGAGGUCCUUCCCUCAACACCCACCAAAACCAGCCCCGAAAGCAGCCCCUGUGCCCUCACUGGGCUCCGCAGCCCCUGCCUGCUGAGGGGGGGUUCCUCCCAGUGCUGACCUCGCUCCCGACUCCCACACAGAUCCGAAGGUCUUAAUUAGCUGCUCUCUGCUGGGCUUUGGAAAUUAUCCCUGUGGGAAGUGCUGGCGAUGGAUGGAUGGAUGGCCAAGUGCUCUGGGGCCAAACAGCAGCUCGGAGCUUUUCUCUGGGAAGGACCCCAGUUCCGAGGAACCAGCUGUGGAGUUUUUUUGUCUUUUUUUCUUUUUUACCUUUCUGUUCUUCUUUUUGAUGCCUUUUGGGGUU